UACGUAGGGGGCAAGCGUUGUCCGGAAUUAUUGGGCGUAAAGAGCUUGUAGGCGGUCUGUCGCGUCUGCUGUGAAAAUCCGGGGCUCAACCCCGGACUUGCAGUGGGUACGGGCAGACUAGAGUGUGGUAGGGGAGACUGGAAUUCCUGGUGUAGCGGUGAAAUGCGCAGAUAUCAGGAGGAACACCGGUGGCGAAGGCGGGUCUCUGGGCCGAUACUGACGCUGAGGAGCGAAAGCGUGGGGAGCGAACAGG
rnacentral:rRNA from 1 species